AACCGGAACAAAAGUUAGCCUA
rnacentral:siRNA from 1 species